ensembl:rRNA 5S_rRNA 5S ribosomal RNA
GAUGAUGGUUUACACCACCCUGAACGUCUCUGAUUUUUGGAAGUUAAGCAGGGUUGAACCUGGUUAGUACUUGGAUGGGAGACAAGACGAGAAUGGCCAGGCAUGGCUGUGAUCU